rnacentral:rRNA from 1 species
GACGAACGCUGGCGGCGGGCCUAAUACAUGCCAGUAGGACGCAGUUGCGAACGGGUGAGUAACGCGUAGGUAACUGCCUAUUAGAGGGGGAUAACUAUAGGAAACGAUAGCUAAUACCGCCUACGAGUAGAUGGAUCUGCGUUGUAUUAGGUAGUAGGUAGGGUAAUGGCCUACCUAGGGCAGGAUACAUAACCGACCUGGGGAGGUGGUGGGCCACACUAGGACUGGUAAACGGCCCAGAGUCCUAGGGGAGGCAGCAGUAGGGAAUCUUCUGCAAUGGGGGGAUCCCUGACCGAGCAUGGCUGCGUGGGUGAAGAAUGUUUUCGGAUCGUAAAGCUCUGUUGUUAAGGAAGCGGUACUUACCCAGAAAGGGACGGCUAACUACGUGCCAGCAGCCGCGGUAAUAC